CACGUAGGCGGCGCUCUAAGUCAGGUGUGAAAUCCCCGGCUCAACCGGGGAACUGCACCUGAUACUGGAGCGCUCGAGGACGGUAGGGGUGAGUGGAACUCCAGGUGGAGCGGUGAAAUGCGUAGAUAUCUGGAGGAACACCGGUGGCGAAAGCGGCUCACUGGACCGUCUCUGACGCUGAGGUGCGAAAGCUAGGGUAGCAAACG
rnacentral:rRNA from 1 species